rnacentral:rRNA from 1 species
GACGAACGCUGGCGGCGUGCCUAAUACAUGCAAGUUGAGCGCUGAAGGUUGGUACUUGUACCGACUGGAUGAGCAGCGCACGGGUGAGUAACGCGUGGGGAAUCUGCCUUUGAGCGGGGGACAACAUUUGGAAACGAAUGCUAAUACCGCAUAAAAACUUUAAACACAAGUUUUAAGUUUGAAAGAUGCAAUUGCAUCACUCAAAGAUGAUCCCGCGUUGUAUUAGCUAGUUGGUGAGGUAAAGGCUCACCAAGGCGAUGAUACAUAGCCGACCUGAGAGGGUGAUCGGCCACAUUGGGACUGAGACACGGCCCAAACUCCUACGGGAGGCAGCAGUAGGGAAUCUUCGGCAAUGGACGAAAGUCUGACCGAGCAACGCCGCGUGAGUGAAGAAGGGUGUCGGAUCGUAAAACUCUGUUGGUAGAGAAGAACGUUGGUGAGAGUGGAAAGCUCAUCAAGUGACGGUAACUACCCAGAAAGGGACGGCUAACUACGUG